CCAGGAAGUGCUUGGCCGGCCCCUCCCAUUGACCUGCUCUGGAUUUAGGAUCUGUACAAAAGGACAAAGAGACAUCAGAGAGGCUGACUGAUUUGAGAUGUUCUGCUGUUCGGAUUUGUAUCUUUUUUUAAAACCUUGCCCGGCUGGACAGUUCCCAGCAAUUCCAGACUCUUCGGAUACAGAGCGCUGAGCAAAUUAGCUUGCUGCCUGUCAUUCCACCUAUCAGAGAGAAACAGAGGAAGGGUGUAGUUUGCCUCUUGCACCAGCACCACUUUACUCUGCAGAGGAAGCACAGGCUAAUUGAUCUCAGAAUUUGACACGAUGUGACCAGCCCCUGCCUCCACUUCAAACUGGUCUGAUCUUUAUAAGCCAAAGAGGAGUAAACAGAAAAGAAUCUUCAAGUGCUUCGGAGGGGUAAACUGAGCUGCAAAAAAUUCCUGGGAGGGAAUGAUUGUCGACAGCCUGUCAAGUUCAAAGAAAUCAUCAGACCGGGACAUUACCUUUAUAGUCCUGAAGCAGUAAACAAUGCAGCAAGACUUUUCAUGCACAUUA